CCUGUUUGUGUCUAUAUGAAACAUUGUUGCACCCUAGAUGUCGCUGUGUGCUUCCCCGCGUGAAUAAAGCACGUUGCUCCUCCAGAUUCCCAUAAUGCCUCGUGUUUACCUCCGCUCUGACAGCAGCGAUACUGCUCGCUGGCUCUUCUAGUCCCCCGCUGGACCCCCGCUGGACCCCCGCCGUUCUCCAGCAGUGCUGCAUGCGCUGGAGCAUCAGCGCACACCGAGGCGACCCCAGCGCGGCUCAGCAGCCGAACACCGGAGACUGUCGCCGGCUCUGGAGUGUUUAUGUUCUCCGCGGUGGGCUUGGACAGUUCCUCGCUCUUCAUCUGAGGGUGCCGUCACCGGGAGAUUGAGCGUCUGCUUAACACAUGAUGUUCAAGGACUACAGAUCUGCUCGAGCUGUAGGCAGAGUGUAGAUCUCACGGCAGAGAAAGGAUUUGUUGGCAAGAUCUCUGCUGCACACCUGAUAAGGCUGUCAGUGUCCCCACG